CCAAUGCCUAAAUCCUUGCGAGGUCCCAUUCGUGGGACUUGGCAAGGUAGUACCUAGGUACUGCCUGGUGUGCAACUGAUUGCAGUUGGUGGGAGCCCACACGUAUGGGUGAUUCCAGUGGGUAACCACCACACUUGUCCAAUCUUAGCUUCUAGUGAGCUUGACCUGGCCUAGCGAUAGGACAGACCCAUGGGUAUAUA
rnacentral:misc_RNA from 1 species